rnacentral:ncRNA from 1 species
UUGGAUAGAAAUCGAUCAGUCCCCCGCCGCAACGGUGGGGGGAGAAACCGCGACGCCGGCAGCGGUUUCGUCGGCAGCCAAGGCCGCCAGGUCUCGCCAUGAGGCCAAUGGGACAUAACAGUCAAC